AUUUGUUUUGAUUGAGGUGCAACAUCUGAAAUGCAGCCUUAGGCUCCAGCAUUCGCUUGGUCUAUCUUUAUAAUUGGUAGCUGAUUUGCAAUGAGUUGAAUGGUUAGUCCAAGGGAUCAAAACGUCAAUCAUACCAUUGUAGUGAACUAAGGUACUGUUUUAAUGAACCAAGGUUUCUAGCUCAAAUGAACAUGCUAAGCUAUGGUUUCUUUCUGUCUUAGAUCUGUAACAGAAUUUACUGGAGCAGGAAAUCAGUAGAUCUAACAUGCAUCUGCAAGAAGCUCUUCUGCACAUCUUUCAUCCAGUAUGCAGAGGAAUUAGAUAUAUCUAGUCUUGGGGCACAGUAAGGCAUCAAGGAAAGAAGAAGCUAAUAAGUUAUCAUUCCUGUCUCCUUUCUAUUUUCUUGUUGGCAGUUGUGCAAUAGGGUGAAUCAUGG
rnacentral:misc_RNA from 1 species